rnacentral:rRNA from 1 species
CACACGACUCUCGGCAACGGAUAUCUCGGCUCUCGCAUCGAUGAAGAACGUAGCGAAAUGCGAUACCUGGUGUGAAUUGCAGAAUCUCGCGAACCAUCGAGUCUUUGAUCGCAAGUUGCGCCCGAGGCCACUCGGCUGAGGGCACGCCUGCCUGGGCGUCACGC